rnacentral:rRNA from 1 species
CCCUAAAAUACUUUCUUUUGACUCGUCUUGUAACACGAUCCAAGGAGGCAAACAAGAAGGAGAGGAAGUUGGAGAGGAGGAAAGCCAAAGUCCGAAAUGAAAGUGAGUGGGAG